UAGGGUGAAAAAAAAAAUUUUUUUUUUUUUUUGACUGGUUACAUGAUGAAUAAAAUCAAAUCACCAUCUUUCGGCUGAGCUCCUG
rnacentral:snoRNA from 1 species